rnacentral:rRNA from 1 species
UGCGUAGGAGGGUAGGUAAGUCAGUGGUGAAAUCCCCGAGCUUAACUUGGGAACUGCCAUUGAUACUAUCUAUCUUGAAUACCGUGGAGGUGAGCGGAAUAUGUCAUGUAGCGGUGAAAUGCUUAGAUAUGACAUAGAACACCAAUUGCGAAGGCAGCUCGCUACACGAAUAUUGACUCUGAGGCACGAAAGCGUGGGGAUCAAACA